AUAUGAUGAGACACAAGCUGGCACCAGUCAUAGAGCGACUUGUACUCCCUUUCGUUGAUGACCAAAUUGCUAUGGUCUAAAGACCGACUCUGAU
rnacentral:snoRNA from 1 species